GCACUGCACUCCCUGAGCUAUUGGCAUUAAAAUUUUACAUAACUUUAUAUUAGCAGUCAGUGGUGUAGAACUGAAUCGCUAACAAAGAGGGCCCUCAAAGAAGGGGGGGGGGAUGACAAGACGUGGGGUAACCAGGCAUAGUUCCAGUAUUCACUUUUGGUUCUAGCAAUUCUUCAAUUGGUGAUUUUUAACUUCAAAUAAUACACUCCAAA